CAGCAGCCGCGGGAAUACGAAGGGGGCUAGCGUUGCUCGGAAUGACUGGGCGUAAAGGGCGCGUAGGCGGUUUUGACAGUCAGAUGUGAAAUUCCUGGGCUUAACCUGGGGGCUGCAUUUGAGACGUCAAGACUAGAGUGUGAGAGAGGGUUGUGGAAUUCCCAGUGUAGAGGUGAAAUUCGUAGACAUUGGGAAGAACACCGGUGGCGAAGGCGGCAACCUGGCUCAUUACUGACGCUGAGGCGCGAAAGCGUGGGGAGCAAACAGGAUUAGAUACCCCUGUAGUCCCUGUCUCUUAUAC
rnacentral:rRNA from 1 species